GAAAUGCGAUAAUUAAUGUGAAUUGCAGAAUUCAGUGAAUCAUCGAGUCUUUGAACGCACAUUGCGCCCCCUGGUAUUCCGGGGGGCAUGCCUGUCCGAGCGUCAUUGCUGCCCUCAAUCACGGCUUGUGUGUUGGGCUUCCGUCCCUGGCAACGGGGACGGGCCCAAAAGGCAGUGGCGGCACCAUGUCUGGUCCUCGAGCGUAUGGGGCUUUGUCACCCGCUCCCGUAGGUCCAGCUGGCAGCUAGCCUCGCAACCAAUCUUUUUAACCAGGUUGACCUCGGAUCAGGUAGCGAUACCCGCUGAACUUAAGC
rnacentral:misc_RNA from 1 species